CUACGGGUGGCUGCAGUCGAGGAAAUUUUACAAUGCUCGAAAGAGUGAUAGAAUGAGUCAGAGUGUUUCUCUUAGAGAAACUUUUAUCUGUUGUAAAAAGACAGAUGAAUAAGGACUGGGAAAGACCGGUGCCAGCCGCCGCGGUAAUACCGGCGGUCCAAGUUGCAUCCACAUUUAUUGGGUCUAAAACAUUCGUAGCUUGUUUUAUAAGUCUCUUGUGAAAUUCUAUAUCUUAAGUAUAGAGCGUGCAAGAGAUACUAUAUUACUAGAGACCGGAAGACGCAAAGAGUAUGAUUGAGGUAGCGGUAAAAUGUGUUAAUCUCAAUCAGACUAACAACAGCGAAGGCACUUUGCGAGUACGGAUCUGACAGUGAGGAAUGAAGGCUAGGGGCGCAAAGCGGAUUAGAUACCCCGGUAGUC
rnacentral:rRNA from 1 species